rnacentral:rRNA from 1 species
UACAGAGGGUGCGAGCGUUAAUCGGAAUUACUGGGCGUAAGCGCGCGUAGGCGGCUUGCAAGUCGGGUGUGAAUCCCCAGGCUUAACCUGGGAACUGCAUUCGAGAGCUGCAUUGCUAGAGUAUGGGAGAGGGAAGUGGAAUUCCGGUGUGAGCGGUGAAUGCGUAGAUAUCAGGAGGAACACCAAUGGCGAAGGCAGCUCGCUGGGACGGUACUGACGCUGAGGCGCGAAGCGUGGGAGCAAACAGG